rnacentral:rRNA from 1 species
UACGUAGGGCGCAAGCGUUGUCCGGAAUUAUUGGGCGUAAAGAGCUCGUAGGCGGCUUGUCACGUCGGAUGUGAAAGCCCGGGGCUUAACUCCGGGUCUGCAUUCGAUACGGGCUAGCUAGAGUGUGGUAGGGGAGAUCGGAAUUCCUGGUGUAGCGGUGAAAUGCGCAGAUAUCAGGAGGAACACCGGUGGCGAAGGCGGAUCUCUGGGCCAUUACUGACGCUGAGGAGCGAAAGCGUGGGGAGCGAAUAGG